rnacentral:rRNA from 1 species
UAUGCAAUCUACCUUUUACAGGGGAAUAGCCCAGAGAAAUUUGGAUUAAUGCCCCAUAGUAUAUAUCAUUCGCAUGUUUGAUAUAUUAAAGUUCCAACGGUAAAAGAUGAGCAUGCGUCCCAUUAGUUAGUUGGUAAGGUAACGGCUUACCAAGACGAUGAUGGGUAGGGGUCCUGAGAGGGAGAUCCCCCACACUGGUACUGAGACACGGACCAGACUCCUACGGGAGGCAGCAGUGAGGAAUAUUGGACAAUGGGCGCAAGCCUGAUCCAGCCAUGCCGCGUGCAGGAAGACGGUCCUAUGGAUUGUAAACUGCUUUUGUACGGGAAGAAACACUCCUACGUGUAGGAGCUUGACGGUACCGUAAGAAUAAGGAUCGGCUAACUCCGUGCCAGCAGCCGCGGUAAUACGGAGGAUCCAAGCGUUAUCCGGAAUCAU